rnacentral:rRNA from 1 species
GGCGAAGGCGGCCUUCUGGACUGACACUGACACUGAGGUGCGAAAGCGUGGGUAGCAAACAGGAUUAGAUACCCUGGUAGUCCACGCCGUAAACGAUGUCGACCAGCCGUUGGGUGCCUAGCGCACUUUGUGGCGAAGUUAACGCGAUAAGUCGACCGCCUGGGGAGUACGGCCGCAAGGUUAAAACUCAAAUGAAUUGACGGGGGCCCGCACAAGCGGUGGAGCAUGUGGUUUAAUUCGAUGCAACGCGAAGAACCUUACCUACUCUUGACAUCCUGCGAACUUGUGAGAGAUCACUUGGUGCCUUCGGGAGCGCAGAGACAGGUGCUGCAUGGCUGUCGUCAGCUCGUGUUGUGAAAUGUUGGGUUAAGUCCCGUAACGAGCGCAACCCUUGUCCUUAUUUGCCAGCGGGUAAUGCCGGGAACUCUAAGGAGACUGCCGGUGACAAACCGGAGGAAGGUGGGGACGACGUCAAGUCAUCAUGGCCCUUACGAGUAGGGCUACACACGUGCUACAAUGGCCGGUACAAAGGGUUGCGAGCUCGCGAGAGUCAGCUAAUCCCGAAAAGCCGGUCUCAGUCCGGAUCGGAGUCUGCAACUCGACUCCGUGAAGUCGGAAUCGCUAGUAAUCGUGAAUCAGAAUGUCACGGUGAAUACGUUCCCGGGCCUUGUACACACCGCCCGU